UCCCCUUUUUAUAGAGUCGUUGCAAGGAUCAAGUGAGUUGAAAUCCGUAAGGUGCUUGGGAGAAUGCCUGGCGCCUGGAAGCACUGUUGCUGCAGUAAUUCUGCUGACGUCAUCCCCAUACUUGCCAUCCUCUUGCAGGGUUGUAGGUUCUAAGGCUGGCCUCCACGGGGUGGUUCCACCCUCUUCUCUUGCUGUGUCUUUAAUGAGAUGUAUCAGAUAUUCCAAAAAAGGAGAUAUAAACAUGACCAUAAAAGACAUGAAAAGAUGUUUAACCCCAUUAGUCAUCGUGGAAAUGCAAAUGAAAACCACCAUACAGACACUAGAGUGGUUUAAAUUUGAAUGACUUCCAACACCAAAUGCCAGACAGGACAUAGAGCAACUGGAUGUCUCAUGCUCACAGGCAGAAGGGAAAACUACUGUGUGUGACAGGAAGAUGGACUUACCCAACCUUCAGCAUUCUCAAUCUCUUGUCUAUUAACAUGUGUUUGAAACAUUAUGCAUUCAAAGCAAACAUCUGGGAGGAAGAUGGGAGAAGCCUUCUUGCCCCUGUUCUACAGAAGUAAUUGAAGUUCAUGACAUUCAAGCUCAUUCACCAGUAAAUGAAUUUGGGUCAUGCUUUAUGUCUGUUGUAAAUACAGUGAAAAUUUG
rnacentral:lncRNA from 10 species